rnacentral:misc_RNA from 1 species
GCCACGCCCGAAGUCAUUACCCCAACCGAAAGGGGGGGGAUGCCUAAGGUAGGACUGAUGAUUGGGGUGAAGUCGUAACAAGGUAGCCGUACCGGAAGGUGUGGCUGGAUCACCUCCUUUUAGGGAGACCUAAUCCAUUUAGAAAUCGAAAACAAUGAAAAUUGUCAAUAGAAACUAAAUUGGUCUAGCCUAGGUCGUUCGAGAUUGGUAGAUAUCUUUCAAAGUAUUAUUCGGCUUCGUUCAAAACCAUAUAUAAUAAAUGGAAAAAGACAGCACCUAAUUGUCAAAGUUAGACUGCUGGAUGAAAUUCCAGCCAGAACCUUGAAAACUGCAUAAGAGAACGAGAAAAAGCAGGCAGACACAGACAUUUAGAUGGAUGUGAAAGCAAAAGAAAUUGUGGUCAAGCUAAUAAGGGCUAAUGGUGGAUACCUAGGCACACAGAGGGAUACCUAGGCACACAGAGGGAUACCUAGGCACACAGAGGAAGGGC